GGCGGAUGGCAGUAAAGAAGCCGUGUGGAGAGACGGUGAUGAUCUUGAGUCUGUCGGUGGUGAAGGUGAGCUGGAUGACCAUCAAGAAGCCAAAUGGAGAGGCUCUGAGGACUAUGAAUCUAUUGAUAGUGAAGGUGAGCUGGAUGAUGAUAAAGAAGCCGAUUGGAGAGACAGUGAUGAUCUUGAAUCUAUCGACAAUAAAGGUGAACCCGAUAACGAUGAAGAUGCACAGUGGAGAGACGGUGAUAACGAUGACUCUAGCGAU